ACCAAUUCCAGAGGAUGAUUUAAGUUCCUCAUGGUGUAAUGGCUUGAUGUGUGGUAUAUCCUGAUUGGUGGCUUUCAUUAUGCCAGCUGAUCUUGGAAACGCCACAUAUAAUU